UUCGUUCGCUCUCGUCACUGAGACUUCAUUCGGAACCAUACAUGGUGUGGAAUUGGACUUUGCAGUGGUGUAGUGGGCAGUCCGGGAUGCAAACAUGAUAAAGUGUCAGGAUUUUUCGCAGGGGCUUUAUCUUGGUCAGUGUUGGCGUGCUGAAUCGACUCCGAGCUCAGACGCUCCUCAGACAGACAGAGAGGAUGAUGAUGAUGAUGAUGAUGAACACGGUGUGUAGACGGAGUUAGACUGAGAGUCCGUGCUGACGGAGCUCCGGGCUUCCCUCUUCCACAGCAUCGGAGUUAGCAGAGAAGACUCUCCUCCAUUUGUGAUUCAGCAGCUUGAGCGUGCACGAGUGGCUCUGCUUUCCAGAGUGCGGUGGAGCUUCGGAGCUUCUCUGGAAGCGAGAUUGAAAAGAACGACCUUGAAGACAUUUGGAGGAUCUUUACAAAGAACAUCAGCAUCUGCAUGAUAAACGUGGACGACCAUUUUUCCACAUCAAAGCUGGAUAUUACUGCAAGCUGGAGAUCUUCUUCCUGAUCUACCUGCCUGAUGGUGCACUCAUAAACCAAAGCAUUAACAUAAAACAAUUAAUAGUUUAAGGAUUCGUUCUGCAGCACGCUCUUGAUUGCUGUGCAUGAGACGAGUGAAGCACUUGAACAGAUGUGAAGGGAGAAAACUAGGACGCAUCUCAUUUCUGUUGAAGGAGAAGAGGACUGUGCAGGAUGACAGUGCAGGAUGGCAGAGGAGAAAAGCGUUUCUGUCUGUUCUGAUCUUCAGACGGGGUUUUGAACCGCUCUACGCUUUGACGCUGUCUCACUCGUCCCACUCCAGGACUGCAGCGAUUACUUCACUGCUUUCAACAUGG